rnacentral:rRNA from 1 species
GACGAACGCUGGCGGCGUGCUUAACACGUGCAAGUCGAACGGAAAGGCCCUGCUUUUGUGGGGUGCUCGAGUGGCGAACGGGUGAGUAACACGUGAGUAACCUGCCCUUGACUUUGGGAUAACUUCAGGAAACUGGGGCUAAUACCGGAUAGGAGCUCCUGCUGCAUGGUGGGGGUUGGAAAGUUUCGGCGGUUGGGGAUGGACUCGCGGCUUAUCAGCUUGUUGGUGGGGUAGUGGCUUACCAAGGCUUUGACGGGUAGCCGGCCUGAGAGGGUGACCGGCCACAGUGGGACUGAGAGACGGCCCAGACUCCUACGGGAGGCAGCAGUGGGGAAUAUUGCACAAUGGGCGGAAGCCUGAUGCAGCAACGCCGCGGGCGGGAUGACGGCCUUCGGGUUGAAAACCGCUUUCGCCUGUGACGAAGCGUGAGUGACGGUAAUGGGUAAAGAAGCACCGGCUAACUACGUGC